rnacentral:rRNA from 1 species
UGUAGUAUCAACGAUGAUGCAUACAUGUCAACUAUGGGUGUUGGCUCCAACAAUUCGCAUUGGUCUCAAACCAAUGGCAUGCAUUUUGAAGACCAUGAGUUCGAGGUGGAAGAGGAUGGUGAGGGCAUUGUCGACGCGCCGAAAGGAAGAGCGGGCAAUUACACCAAUGCUGAAGACAUCUUACUAUGCGAUACUUGGUUGGAAGUGUCGAGGGAUCCAUCCGUUGAAGGUGAUCAAAGUAGAGAUGCUUAUUGGGGGCGGAUGAAAGGACACUUUGAUGUUCGCAACGUGGAAUUGACCGCUCCGAGCGAUCACUUUGGUCCCGGUGGUCGACAAUCAACAAGGAUUGUCAAAAGUGGGCGGUCGCACAAAAGGCGGUUGACAAGUUGA